AUUUCUUAAUAAAAAUAUGCAAAAACUACUAAGACUAAAACAAACAGCUACAAAACAAUUUUAAAAAAAAAUAGAUCAUUUAGAUUAUCUUAAAGUUUUAAUAUUAUAUAUACUUAAAAACAUAGAAAUUAUAGAUAUUAAGAAAAUAAUAUUAGAAAAAGUAAUAGACUACGAAAUUGAAACUAUAAAUUAUCUAGAACAGUUAUACGAAGAAAUUUACCCAGAAGGAUAUUAUUCAGAUUAAAAAAUGUUAGAAUAUAUUAGACAAACUAGAGAAAAUCAAGAAAAUCUAAAUAAUGAAAUUAAUUAUAGAAACCGAAUUAGACAAAUAAUGAAAGACCUAAAAGAAAAAUUAAUAUGGAUAGAAAAAACCUUAGAAAAUUUAGAUAAAAGUACAUGUGAUAGUUUAUAUAAUUUAAAAAACUCACUACGAGAAGAACAACACAAAAUAAUAAAUAACAUUGAAAAUCUAGAAUUAGAUAUAUAUUAUAGCACAGAUAGAAUAAAUUAUUAUACAAGAAUUUGUAACUCUGUAAUUACUACAGGAUAAAAUAAUUAAUGAAUAUAUCUUACGAAAAAAGUAAAUUAUUAAAAGAUAACAUCCACGCACUAAAUAAAAAUAGAUUCACUACAAAUAUGUACCAAAUCUAUUAUACCUAUUUAAUUAAAUCCGCGCACCCCCCUACAAAUGGUAUCAGAGCA
rnacentral:lncRNA from 1 species